AUGGCUUUCGCGCUCAAGGCGCCCCCCUCCACGUCGUCCACGGCUACGUCGCUGAGCCACCCGAUGCGCCAACGGCAUGCGGCAGCCGUGACGGUGGCCGCGCCGGGGAGGCUUGUCGUCCGGGCGGUCGCGGCGGUGACCGCGCCCGCGCCUUCUGCGAAGCGCGCGUCGCGGUCCGCGGCCGGCGAGCGCGGCCUUUCCGUGGCGGAGGCCAUGUCUCGGGUCAGGGCGAGUGGCAAGACGGCGUUCAUCCCGUACAUCACCGCCGGCGACCCCGACCUGGCGACCACGGCGAAGGCGCUCAGGCUACUCGACUCCCUCGGCGCCGACGUCAUCGAGCUCGGCAUGCCCUUCUCGGACCCCUCCUUGGACGGGCCGGUGAUCCAGGCCUCCGCUGCGCGGGCGUUGGCUGCCGGCGCGACCACGGACGCCGUGAUGUCGAUGCUCAAGGAGGUGACGCCGGAGCUGUCCUGCCCCGUGGUCAUCUUCUCUUAUUUCAACCCCAUUGUGCGCCGUGGGACGGGGAACUUCGCUGCCGCUGCCAAAGAAGCCGGUGUCAAAGGUCUUAUCAUACCCGACCUUCCAUACGACGAGAUACGCGGUUUCAGGAAAGAAAUCGUCGAGAACAAACUAGAACUGAUUCUCCUUACAACACCAGCUACACCAUUAGAGAGGAUGAAAGAAAUCACAAAAGCUUCAGAAGGGUUCAUUUACCUUGUAAGUGUCAUUGGAGUUACAGGAUCUUCUUCAGGAGAUUAG
rnacentral:rRNA from 1 species